rnacentral:rRNA from 1 species
UAACACGUAGUUAACCUGCCCUAAGGUGGGGGAUAAUCACGGGAAACUGUGGCUAAUACCCCAUAGUCCAUGGAUACUGGAACGUUCCGUAGACGAAACCUACGGGGCCUUAGGAUGGGACUGCGGCGUAUCAGGUAGUCGUCAGGGUAAAAACCUGACGAGCCGAUAACGCGUAGGGGCCAUGAGAGUGGAAGCCUCCAGAUGCCUUCUGAGACAUGAAGGCAGGGCCUACGGGUCGCAGCAGGCGCGAAAACUUUCCAAUGCAUUAGCGUGUGAGAGGGGAACCUUGAGUGGUGCAGCUUAGCUGCACCUUUUGCCAAGUCUAGACAGCUUGGCGAAUAAGAGGUGGGUAAGACGGGUGCCAGCCGCCGCGGUAAUACCCGCGCCUCGAAUGGUCAUCACGUUUAUUGGGUCUAGAGCGUCCGUAGCCGGCUCUGCAAGUCCCUGGUGAAAUCCGGCAGCAAACUGUCGGGCGUGCUGGGGAUACUACAAGGCUUGGGAUUGGGAAAGGGCUGAGGUAUUCGGCGUGUAGGGGUUAAAUCCUUUAAUCCGCCGAGGACCACCUGUGGCGAA